GUGAUAGGUUCCUCCUCUCCAUGUCUUCGAGUAUUCCUUUCUCGCCAUAGAGUGUGAAUGGUGAUCUGAAAAGUGUAACGCAGCAGCAGAAGUGUGUUCCUCCCAAGCGACGAUCCUGAUUCAUCAAGAUUCAGCCAUUAACAUUUGAAUUCAAAGAUCUUUAGUCAGAUUCAGCCAAAACUCACUAAACAAUUCAGCCGGAUUCAUCAAUUUAACCAGAUUCAGCCAGAUUUCUCGGUUACCAUUUAGACACAGUGGCCCAUAAGAUCACUCCAAUGCUUCCUCUAAUGAAGCCUCCGACCCUACCAGACGUCAGGAAGUACAAACCCCCUGAAUUUAUCUCCAUGAAG